GGACCAAUGCUUGAGAUUUCAAGGCACAGUUUAUCUUGUUCACUCAUCUUAUCUGUACAAUGACAGAUGGUAUGGAUGAGUAAGUCUUUGAAGCGUGACUGACACAGCUCACAUAUGCCUUGUGCACCUCCUGGGCGCCAUGAUGCACAUAGCUUGACCACAAAUUUGCAUUCAUGUUUAAGAUGUGGGAAUUGUGUCAAGACAGAAAGUUGAAUUGA